CCAAACAGCCAAGCCGACCCUAAGAUAAGUAAGUGUUGGCUUGUUGUCUUCCAUCGGAAGUCAUUUGCUAAAGUAACCAAGCCUAAUUAACAUACAAGGCACCACAAUCCACAAACUUUAUCACCCACAUGUAGUAUUAGUGUUACUCCCCACUAACCAGACUCCCAAGUACAAAGUUAAACAAAACAAUGCACAACUCUCUUUCUAUCAUACUACUUCGUAGUUGUUCUUCGUAGUUGUUUUUGUUUCUAAAGCAUACUACUUCUUGCCUAAUAAUAUUAUACUCUAAUACUCCCCCUCAAACUGGAAGUCUUAUAUCACGACUUACGGCUUACAGCUUGUUGAUAACAUAAUCUUAUUUUUAACUACGAAGAUUGAGGCCCUUUUCAAUGUGCAUAGAAAAAAGUUUUUUUUUCCGUCCAAAAUUAGAUAUCUCACUCUCGGUAUAUUACUUAACACAUCCACUUUCCAAGGAUAUCAUGUGCCGACUAUAACGGAGAAUACUUGUCUCCCAUAACAAAUGCGAAGGACUCUCUAUCCUUCAAAAACAACUACGAAGGAGUCCUUGUCUUUCCCAACAAUGGAGGACUCUCUAGCCUCCCAAAAAAUCGAAGGACACACUCUUUCCUGAUGUAUUGAAUAUUGUUGUUAAAGAUACCAUGUUAAAGAUAAAAUAGAUGUAUUGAAUAUUGUUGUUAUGUUAUAUUAGAAAGAGUACUAAAGCCUUAUAUAUAGGCUACUAGUUGCGUAGUGGCCCAGUAUUUGUGGCCACCAAACAUACUUGGUGACAAAAUAAUAAUAAUAAUAAUAAUAAUAAUAAUAAUAAUAAUAAUAAUAAUAAUAUACUCUAAUACAUGUCUUAUAAUUAAAACGAAUCAAACUUGUUUUGUUUUUACUGUGACAUAGUACCUUGUUAUUUUACAGACCCAAUAUAUGUGUGUGAGGUUUUCUAUGUAACUGUCUUAUAGAUAAAGGAUUAUGUUGUAGGUUUACAUUUGACAAACUUAUCUUAUAAGGAAUAUGUUUAUUCAAUGUUCUUGAAGGUAGGCUGUAUGAGAGCUAAGCUUGUCAAUUUAUUUUGUCUCAAGUCUGAGUUUGUUCUCUGUUUGCAUAUGUUUAUUUUUUUACAUAUACUACUGUUAUCUUGAAAAUCUAUAUGCCGUGGUGCAUAAAAGAAGAGUGC
rnacentral:lncRNA from 1 species